rnacentral:rRNA from 1 species
GACGAACGCUGGCGGCGUGCUUAACACAUGCAAGUCGAGCGGCGCGGCGAACGGGUGAGUAAGGCGUGAGUAACUGCCCCCCUCUCUGGGAUCACAGUUGGAAACGGCUGCUAAUACCGGAUAGUGGGGGAUGACUCGCGUCUAAGCAGCUUGUUGGUGGGGUAGUGGCCUACCAAGGGGACGACGGGUAGCCGGCCUUGGAGGGCGACCGGACGCAUGGGGCUGAGAUACGGACCAAUAUGCGACGGUGGGCAGCAGUGGGGAGUAUUGCACAGUGGGGGAAAGCCUGAGGCAGAAACGCCGCGUGCGGGAGGACGGCCUUCUGGUGGUAAACCGCUUUCAGCCAUGACGCGGUAGUGGCAGAAGAAGCACCGGCUAACUACGUGCCAGCAGCCGCGGUAAUAG